rnacentral:rRNA from 1 species
AUUGAACGCUGGCGGCAGGCCUAACACAUGCAAGUCGAACGGUAACAGGAAGCAGCUUGCUGCUUCGCUGACGAGUGGCGGACGGGUGAGUAAUGUCUGGGAAGCUGCCUGAUGGAGGGGGAUAACUACUGGAAACGGUAGCUAAUACCGCAUAAUGUCGCAAGACCAAAGGGGGGGACCUUCGGGCCUCUUGCCAUCGGAUGUGCCCAGAUGGGAUUAGCUUGUUGGUGGGGUAACGGCUCACCAAGGCGACGAUCCCUAGCUGGUCUGAGAGGAUGACCAGCCACACUGGAACUGAGACACGGUCCAGACUCCUACGGGAGGCAGCAGUGGGGAAUAUUGCACAAUGGGCGCAAGCCUGAUGCAGCCAUGCCGCGUGUAUGAAGAAGGCCUUCGGGUUGUAAAGUACUUUCAGCGGGGAGGAAGGGAGUAAAGUUAAUACCUUUGCUCAUUGACGUUGCCCGCAGAAGAAGCACCGGCUAACUCCGUG